CGCCUCGACCGCCGGGCGCCAGGGGACGGAGGGGAGUCCCCGCCAGCGGCGUCGCUUUUGGUGUCUCUGAAGGAGGUGUCUCCUAGGCCGUCUACCACUAUCUCUGCACGACAGAGAAAAGGUAAUAUGAUUAUUAUACCUAAUAAAUUUGCAUCAGAAAAUCACAAAAUAUGGAUUCAAAUUAAUGGAAUACAAGGGGGGCGGGUAAAAUAACCUUGAGAAGCCCAUGGGUUAGAGGCGGCAGCAGCAGCAGAGCCUCCCCUGUCGCUCCUGAACGAGGCCGAGUCCAAUGGCGCUGAGUGGUAGUCCUUCAUCUGUUAUGUCCAAUAUUUUUCAAACCAAAAAUAAUUACUGCCAAGGUCAGUUAUCUGAAAGUCGUUUCAUUUCUAUGUCACUGGGUUAUGGACUUUUAAACCUGACUGACUAACGGAUUGAUCCCAAACAUUUUCAUUGCGUAAAAACUACUACCUCCGUUCCUAAAUUUUUGUCGUUGUUUUAGUACAAAUUUGAACCCGUUCCUAAAUUCUUGUCGCUGUUUUAGUACAAAUUUGAACUAAAACAACGACAAGAAUUUAGGAACGGAGGGAAUAGCUGAAUUUAUGUACGUAGCUUAUUGUUAAACAUGUUUGAUAAUGUAAUAAACAUUGGCUUAGAAAAGACGUGGAAUUACCCAGCUAGGUGCUCCAGGCUCUUCCACCUUCUUGUUUGCAGUACUUGGUCCGUCCCAUCCGAUGUGCGCCACAUGUUUCACAUCCGUAGGAAAUCCGAUUUGUAUUUCUUGUUCCUUAGUAUCUGGAUAUCAUCGUUUCGUAUGACAAAUGAGGGAUGUUAUGAAUUAAAACAUCAAACAAACAAGAUAAAGAGACUAAAGGGUAUGUACCCAUUAUGUUAGUGAAGUAGCGGAAGGGUCUCAGUAUUCCCUUCUUCAUCUUUGUGCUCAUGUCCUUUCAGCUAGCUUCUCCUACUGUGUUUGUGCCCAAGCACUCUUCUUGAAUCUAAAAAUUGCUGCAAGAGAAGGACAAGAUAACGAAGACAUAGCAUUGUAUGAAUCCCAAAUUUUAUGUUCUAGAUUCCUAUUUAAAUAGAUGAGCGUGAAAUUAAGUGUUGCAAAGAAGGAUGAUGCCACAUUUGAAUGCUUACUCUGUCAAGAACCACAAAAAUCAAUGCUAACAAGAACGAACAAUUCUUGUUAACCGGUUCUCUCACUCCUUCGUCCUCAAUGGGCCAACAGCAUGUUGCUCCUCCCUCAAUCUCUUCCUCCCAGAAUUAUGCUAGCUCAAUAUCGCGAGACCCUCCGCAUUGCAAUGGGCAUAUGGUUUAGAAACUUAUGCCGAGCUCAGCGGAGGGCGCAUCGCGGUCGAUGGAAUUCUGAGGGUGGGAGGAGGAGGAGGAGUUCUAUAUUAUGUCUAAUUUUUUUGGAGGGCCACAAACCCUUUGAGCCGUCUCCUAAUAUUCAACCAUGCAUGGGCGUAGGAAGAGGCUACCUGUCCUUUUUGUGGCUAUAUAAGGAGGGUACAGUUAUGGAAAACUGGUUGGAGGAUGAAGAGGACGUUUGCCUAAAGAUAGCCCUUUGGACAAACAUAUCACUGCUAGAAAUAACCCUUGUGUCGCUUCCACCAUGAGUUCCCAUGCGAUUCGCCGCUUUCUGCUCCACAUUUUGUGUAUAUAUAGGUUUUCCUGGUCCAGUUGGUCAAUCUCUUGUGACAACGUUGAGGAAAACAACACAUUUUGCCUCAUGUCCUUGUGGAUGCGAAUUGAUGUUCCUGUUUAUAUCAUCAGAAUUUCCCCAGCUGCUUUCUUUCCAAAAAAAGGUCACUGAUAAUACUUUUGAGAGAGACCAACCGGCGGGGGGGGGGGGGUCCCCACCUGAAAUAAUACUCGCUUUCAAGAGCAAAACAUCAAAUACAAGAAAAGGUCACUGAAACAACUCUUUCAUCAUCCAUACAUUGUCGAUUUGUGGAGAGAGCAUAUUAAUUGGAUAUCUUCAUACUAUCAGUUAUCUGGUAGAUGUUACAAAUAUACUAUAAAACAUAUACUUUCCUAUUUGAGUUGGGAAGAAGAAACUGCACGAGCAAUAUCCUGAUUGCAUCAAAUUUUCUUGCCAUUAUUGGUUCACAAAUUUGGUUGUAUAAUGAAGGUAAAAAACUGUUUGUGGUACAAGUACAGCAAUAAUGGACGACAAAUAUUGCAAUUUAGAAGUGAUCUUGAUCGCCAGUUUGCGAGUAAGCCAAGUUAUAUCAUGAUGCCUUAAGAUCAUCCAUGCCGACGCUAGCCUGAGUAGAUAGUUUUAUUGUAAACUGUCAUCUUCAGAAAACGUGUGGCACAAAAAGCAUAAGCAAUCUGGGUUGGGCACUUGGACUUACCAGAAACUUGUGGUUUUCUGCCAGUAAAGGGGAGAAUGUUGCACAAAACUUCUCAAUGUCUGCAUUUAUGUCACCUAAGCCACUAAUGAUAUCCAUGAACUUCUUUCUAUCUGGAGCAAGCUUCAUGGCAACCUGGAAUCCUCAGGCAUCACUAUGUGCAAUGUGCAUGCUAAGGCACUUGACUGAGUAGAAUAUAGUACUAGUUAUCUUGAGCACAAUUCAUUUAUUAUAGCAUAGCAAACGAAGGGUUUCCUAGUUUAUUGAUACCAACUUUAGUGUCCCCACCACAAAAUGGGGAACUUUUGCCACUUUGAAGGCUCUAUUAAUGCAUUCGUGACAAACAGGAAAUUACUAGUAUUGUAUUUUCGUAGCUUGCUGUUUUGAUCCAAGUCCAAUCCUAACCAAGAAAUAUGUGCAUUCUCUGAACCUUAAAUGCCAUUGCUUGGCUAGCUUUUCCAUCUGUUACUGCUGACAGAUACCUAUAUGGCUAUAUAUCCAUGUAAAGAAUAAAAAUGCAGUUUGCAUCUAGUUUCUCUCCACUUCUCUUACUGCAGCACUUAUCAAAUACAUAAUGGUCUACUACAUGUAAAUGUUGUUAUAGUGGUAUGUCACAGUGCCUAGUUAUGUUACAUAAUGGUACACAGUAUGCACAUGAAGUUAAAGUUGCUUGUGCUUCAUGUCGAACUUUGAACACCGAGUUCAAGAAAUUUUGCACCCUCUAGAUGAUAUCAACAUGCCGUUCGCUAUCUUAAUUGUUGAACUAAAAAGACCGAGUGCUCGGGGUUAACCAAAAUGAGAAAAGAAAAUCUUUAUUUGUCUCAUCAUUCAUAAUAACAAAAUUUAACUUUAUUUGAAAGUUUAGGCAAAGAAUAAUACCGAGAAGCUCGAACUCGCCAGCCAACCAUGCCGUUUCUUGAGUGUGUUUCUAUAUGCAUCACUGCAAACUUGUGGCAUCUGCCAAUCGGGGUGCUGUACCAAAUUAUGGAACAGCGCAACCAAGAAGUCCAUGGCUCUGAGAAAUCAAGGAAAACAAUGUGAAAUCUAAGAAUUAUACUCCUGUAAAUAUUUCAGCCUGUGAUUUGGUCAACACCUCCACCUAAAAAGGGACUUCUUUAGUUCUCUGGAUAAUCGAGUCAUUUGAGCAUAUGUGUAUUAUUUUGUGUUAAAAUUCUCCGUGGCUGCUGAGUGGAUGUAAUUUUCGUAUGGAUAGCUAUAAUUAUUCGUGCAUGAAAACUAAGAGAGAGUGUAGUGUCAUGACUAACUCAUAAUUUUAUUAUAUUUACAUGGGUUAGUUUACCUUGUCAACCAUAAAAGGCCAUUGGUACAACUGCUAGAACUUUUGGCUGACUUAGAGGUAACUUCCACUUGCACCAUGGCGUGCAGCUGCUCAUACUUUGAAGGAUCAGAUGCAUAUUUUGUCUCCAGUCUCUGCAUGAUAACAGGAGCAAGUAAGCACCAUCAUAAAUAAACAGUAGAAGACGAGACCUAAAUCAUAAGUAGCGUGUUGAUUUAACUCUUGUCUUUUCUUGUCUUAAAGCAUAUCCAGAAUAGCAUUAAGAAUCUUCUGAAAAAAAAGAGGAUUCCUCUUACCGUAAUAUUGCCACCAAUGUCGCUCUUCACAAUGGACAUGGCAGAUCCAAAUUUAUCUACAGCCAUACGUUAAAACUUUAAGAUUGAAUGUCAUUAUUUUUGAACCGUUUCUUGCAGGGAUGCAAAAAUUCCUUGCCUAACACAGGAAGAAUGUGCUUGCACACUUGAAGAAACGGCUUGGUUAGGAUGACGCCGCUCUCUGACUUGACGUGCUUCAUCCCUUCGAGCGAGG
rnacentral:lncRNA from 1 species